UAUUAUUUUUAAUUAUCAAUAAUUAAAGAUAAUAAUUGUUCAAGUUAUACGUUAAUAAUCGUGAAAAACAAAGUGUUGCAAUUAAAAAGAAAUGAAGGAAGUAUGAUGCAAGGGUGAUAGUUAGGUAGAUCACAGUAUUUACCACGUUCUUGAUAAAAAAAAUAUUUGGUGAAAAUUUAUUAGAGUUUUUCAAUUUUUUAUUUUUUGUGCCGAACAAUGAAGUAGGCACAACUAUUUCUUAGAAGUAAAUUAUUUAGAGUUAGAACAAUUAUAAGGAAUAGCUACAAUUUUAAAUUGAUCAUCACAAAUCUUUCAUGACAAAUAUUCCUUCAAAAAAGUCAUUAAAGACGGAGAUGAUAAUAGUCGUCAUCGUUUAGGUGACAAAUUAAAACUACCUUAAAGUUUUUUAUUACUCGUAGUUCUUCUUCAUUCUAUUGAUCUUCUCUCUAUAUUUUAAAGUGCUUAAACAUGAAACAAACAAUGAAGCACUUUGGGGCUAUAUUUCUUGUGUUGUUGCUUGUUCUGGCCACAGAACAUGGAGCAAGAGUAGCAGAAGCAAGAACAUGUGAAACUCCAAGUCAAAAGUUCAAAGGAAUAUGUAUUAGUGACUCCAAUUGUGAAUCAAUUUGCAAUACCGAAGGAUUUCCUAAUGGAGAAUGUAGUGGCCUUCGCAGAAGAUGCAUUUGCAACACACCAUGCACUUAAUGUUUAAUUAUGCUCAUAAUUAAUUAUGUUUAAUUACUAAUUGAUGUGCUUUGGAAUAGAAAUUUCAUAUUUUAUGUACGUUAUGAAUUGAAAUCUAUUUGUUUCAGAAUAGCUAGUAAAAUCUGAAACAUUUUUCAAUACACUUUGUGUGUUAUGUUUUAAAAAAAACUAUCGGAUAAGACGCGUUUCAGUCUAAUCGGGAUAAUAAUCUCAUAUACAUAUAUAGCAUGUAAAAUUUUGGCGA